rnacentral:rRNA from 1 species
AUGACUAUGAGCCCGAAGUCAAGGCCACAAAGGAGCAGAACCAUCUUUAUGAUAUUGCCAAGCGUUUUGGAAACGCGCGGUGCUGAAAGAACCAAAAUCAUACAAUGUGACGCGACGUACAUCGACCUGGGUGAUCUUGCCGAGUCUGUGAGGCCACUUGGUAAAAUGUCGAAGAAUAUAGUUGUGUGUGGGAUUGACUUUAUCAACAAGCAUAUGGAUAUUUGUCCCGACGAAACGAUCAUGCAGUACAGUGUGACCUGCAAAAUAUGGGAUGGUGACUUCCACCAUAAAAUCCCGAGGAAGCAUUUUGCUGCGCAUGGUGAAUUCAAGCUCACAAUGAAGAAAUGUGUACUGUUUCCCAUGUUCUAG